GACGAACCGUACGAACGUUAUUCGGAAUCACUGGGCUUAAAGGGUGCGUAGGCUGUGCAGAAAGUUGGGUGUGAAAUACCUCGGCUUAACCGAGGAACGGCACUCAAUACUACUGUGCUCGAGGGAGACAGAGGUGAGCGGAACUUAGGGUGGAGCGGUGAAAUGCGUUGAUAUCCUAAGGAACACCGGUGGCGAAAGCGGCUCACUGGGUCUCUUCUGACGCUGAGGCACGAAAGCUAGGGUAGCGAACGGG
rnacentral:rRNA from 1 species